rnacentral:rRNA from 1 species
GCCAGUAGUCAUAUCACCCUGUAACUCAUGACUGGCAGCCCACUGAAGCUCAGCAGGUGUGAGCCUGGUCAGUGCCUGGAGGGGAGACCUCCUGGGAAAGCUAAGGUUGCUGCUGGAA